AUGGGGGAGAAUCAGGGGAUUCAACAAGUUCUUGAAAAAUUGGCUCAACUUAUCACUGCAAAGGCAGGGGAUGCAUCAUCUGGCAAUGCAAUCAUGCCACGUACCGAGCUGACACAGGAAAUUGAGUUGAUGCCAAAUGACAUCAAAUUGGAGGGUAUCAACUAUUACUUGAGCUGGUCGAGGAGGGCAUUGCUGAUUUUGAAGACAAAGGGACUUGAGAACAUUGUUGAGGAGGAAUCAACUGAGCCAGCAGAUAAGACAAGUGUGGAGUGGAGGACAUGGAGUACUACCAACUCAUUGGUGGUGGCAUGGUUGUUAAAUUCUUUGUCACCGAGCAUUGCUGCAACUGUUGAAACCAUCUCAAGUGCAGCUGAGGUGUGGAAGACUUUAUCGAAAUUGUACUCCGGAAAGGGAAAUGUGAUGCUGAUGGUUGAGACACAAGAGAGAGUUAGCGAUCUGAGGCAGGGGGCGUACUCUGUAAUGGAGUAUGUUGCUGAGUUGCAGCGAUUAUGGGCUGACUUAGAUCACUAUGACCCUCUCGAGCUGCCACAUGCAGAUUGCAUAUCUAGUGUUAAGAAGUGGAUUGAACGCAGGAGGGUGAUAGAAUUCCUUAAGGGUUUGAAUUCAGAAUUUGAAGGGAGACGAGCUACUAUGUUCCACCAACCCACUCUUCCCAAUCUGGAGGAAGCUAUAGCAGCAAUUUCACAAGAGGAGAUCAGACUGAAAGUGAUGAAGAACAAUGUAGCAACUCCAUCACGUUCUGCCUUCAUAGUAACCAGAAACAAUGAGACCAGAGAUUGUUUCAACUGUGGUGAGAUGGGACACUUGAGUCGUAAUUGUCAUGCCCCGCAGGCCAACCCGUGGAAGGGGUAG
rnacentral:rRNA from 1 species